UGGGGAAUUUUGGACAAUGGGGGAAACCCUGAUCCAGCCAUCCCGCGUGUGCGAUGAAGGCCUUCGGGUUGUAAAGCACUUUUGGCAGGAAAGAAACGUCGCGGGUUAAUACCCCGCGAAACUGACGGUACCUGCAGAAUAAGCACCGGCUAACUACGUGCCAGCAGCCGCGGUAAUACGUAGGGUGCAAGCGUUAAUCGGAAUUACUGGGCGUAAAGCGUGCGCAGGCGGUUCGGAAAGAAAGAUGUGAAAUCCCAGAGCUUAACUUUGGAACUGCAUUUUUAACUACCGGGCUAGAGUGUGUCAGAGGGAGGUGGAAUUCCGCGUGUAGCAGUGAAAUGCGUAGAUAUGCGGAGGAACACCGAUGGCGAAGGCAGCCUCCUGGGAUAACACUGACGCUCAUGCACGAAAGCGUGGGGAGCAAACAGGAUUAGAUACCCUGGUAGUCCACGCCCUAAACGAUGUCAACUAGCUGUUGGGGGCCUUCGGGCCUUGGUAGCGCAGCUAACGCGUGAAGUUGACCGCCUGGGGAGUACGGUCGCAAGAUUAAAACUCAAAGGAAUUGACGGGGGUCGAUAGC
rnacentral:rRNA from 1 species